GAAAGGGCAGGAAGGAAGAAAGGGAGGAGGACGGCCUGUUGGCGCAUGCGUAGAAGAACCAAGUCGAUGGGGGAUGGGAAAGUAGGGCUGUUUUGAGGGCAAAGGGCGGGAAAACGUCUCUGAGGCGUUUAAUCAUUGAUCAAGAGUGAAACUAUAUAAAGAAAAAGAAAGAAAAGUGACCAUGGAGGCUUUUGAACUAUGAGAUCUGUACGUGAACAACACUGUCUUGCUUUUCCAUAGUUUACUGAACAAAGUUCAACUGGCAGGGAUCCGUGGAAGCUGUUAAGCUGCCAAUCAUAAUUUAUUUACCACAAAUGCUAGUUUUGUAUCAACUUCUAAACCAAAACCAAACUGGACAUGUUUUGGCUUAGCGUGUGGUAGAAACCCAUCAUAUUGGAGGGUCCUAGUCUAAUAAAAGAUGUAUUAAGUGAA